CUGGUGAUUCAUAAUAACUUCUCGAAUCGCAUGGCCUUGCGCCGGCGAUGGUUCAUUCAAAUUUCUGCCCUAUCAACUUUCGAUGGCAGGGUCUUGGCCUGCCAUGGUUACAACGGGUAACGGAGGGUUAGGGCUCGACCCCGGAGAAGGAGCCUGAGAAACGGCUACUACAUCCAAGGAAGGCAGCAGGCGCGCAAAUUACCCAAUCCCGACACGGGGAGGUAGUGACAAUAAAUACUGAUACAGGGCUCUUUUGGGUCUUGUAAUUGGAAUGAGUACAAUUUAAAUCCCUUAACGAGGAACAAUUGGAGGGCAAGUCUGGUGCCAGCAGCCGCGGUAAUUCCAGCUCCAAUAGCGUAUAUUAAAGUUGUUGCAGUUAAAAAGCUCGUAGUUGAACCUUGGGCCUGGCUGGCCGGUCCGCCUCACCGCGUGCACUGGUUCGGCCGGGCCUUUCCCUCUGGGGAGCCCCAUGCCCUUCACUGGGUGUGGUGGGGAACCAGGACUUUUAC
rnacentral:rRNA from 1 species